GACGAACGCUGGCGGCGUGCUUAACACAUGCAAGUCGAACGGAGUGGCGAACGGGUGAGUAACACGUGGGUGACCUGCCCUGCACUUCGGGAUAAGCCUGGGUAACUGGGUCUAAUACCGGAUAGUGUGGGAUGGGCGCGGGGCCUAUCGGCUUGUUGGGGGGGUAAUGGCCUACCAAGGCGGCGACGGGUAGCCGGCCUGGGAGGGUGGACGGCCACAUUGGGACUGCGAGACGGCGCAGACUGCAACGGGGGGCAGCGGGGGGGAAUAUGGCACAAUGGGCGGAAGCCUAGUGCAGCGACGCCGCGUGGGGGAUGACGGCUUUCGGGUUGUAAACGCCUUUCACCAUCGACGCGGUAGAUGGAGAAGAAGCACCGGCUAACUACGUGCCAGCCGCCGCGGUAAUUC
rnacentral:rRNA from 1 species